UCAGCACAAACUGUUCUCAGAUGUGUACAAAGACAGCUGGCUCAAGGAACACUGAGUCACUCUAAUGUGGGAUUAAAAGUGUGACAAUGUCUGCAACAAUGAAAAUUACUAGACAUGGUGAUCCAGGCAGAGAAUGAAGGAGACUCAAGCGGUUCUUCAAGGACAUGCCACACAAUGCACUUGACAAAAAGUCCAACUUCGAGCUCCUGGAGAAGGAAGUAGGGCU